rnacentral:rRNA from 1 species
GUGGAUUAGAUACCCUGGUAGUCCACGCCCUAAACGAUGAUGACUAGUUGUUGGGGGAGUUAAAUCCCUUAGUAACGCAGCUAACGCGUGAAGUCAUCCGCCUGGGGAGUACGGUCGCAAGAUUAAAACUCAAAGGAAUUGACGGGGGCCCGCACAAGCGGUGGAUGAUGUGGUUUAAUUCGACGCAACGCGAAAAACCUUACCUACCCUUGACAUGUGCGGAAUCCUGCAGAGAUGCAGGAGUGCCCGAAAGGGAACCGCAACACAGGUGCUGCACGGUUGUCGUCAGCU